rnacentral:rRNA from 1 species
GGGGAAUAUUGCACAAUGGGCGAAAGCCUGAUGCAGCAACGCCGCGUGAGUGAUGAAGGUUUUCGGAUCGUAAAACUCUGUCCUCAAGGAAGAUAAUGACGGUACUUGAGGAGGAAGCCCCGGCUAACUACGUGCCAGCAGCCGCGGUAAUACGUAGGGGGCUAGCGUUAUCCGGAUUUACUGGGCGUAAAGGGUGCGUAGGCGGUCUUUCAAGUCAGAAGUUAAAUUCUACGGCUCAACCGUAGCCAGCUUUUGAAACUGGAAGACUUGAGUGCAGGAGAGGAGAGUAGAAUUCCUAGUGUAGCGGUGAAAUGCGUAGAUAUUAGGAGGAAUACCAGUAGCGAAGGCGGCUCUCUGGACUGUAACUGACGCUGAGGCACGAAAGCGUGGGGAGCGAAC